CUGUGGGAGCAGCAUCAAGCAAGACUUCGGGCAGUGAUUCUAACUAUUGCCUAUGAACACCGUGGCUGGGACGACUUUGACGAGGCAAUUUAUUACUUACGCAUAGAACACUGGCUGUGCUGAAACUGGGAGCGCAAACAGCCCCUUGUUUUCUAAUUUAGAGACUUGCAUCUUUUCGACACUCAACAGUAUCAAGACACUCUGCUACUACAGAUUGAUUUCCACCAUCAACACCUUUACCUCUUCCCGCCUGAAAAUAAAAUAUGAAAUAUAACAAGUAAAUCGCAAUCUACCUUGAAUCUUCUGGAGAGGAAAGAAGAAACCAUGUCUAGACAAGGUGCUGGAAAGACCCAGGGAAGACACAGGGAAAUCAUCUUUCGGGAAUUUAUCUAAGAAGAACUUCUUAUG
rnacentral:lncRNA from 1 species